rnacentral:rRNA from 1 species
GAUGAACGCUGGCGGCGUGCCUAAUACAUGCAAGUCGAGCGAACGGACGAGAAGCUUGCUUUUCUGAUGUUAGCGGCGGACGGGUGAGUAACACGUGGAUAAUCUACCUAUAAGACUGGGAUAACUUCGGGAAACCGGAGCUAAUACCGGAUAAUAUUUUGAACCGCAUGGUUCAAAAGUGAAAGACGGUCUUGCUGUCACUUAUAGAUGGAUCCGCGCUGCAUUAGCUAGUUGGUAAGGUAACGGCUUACCAAGGCAACGAUGCAUAGCCGACCUGAGAGGGGGAUCGGCCACACUGGAACUGAGACACGGUCAAGACUCCUACGGGAGGCAGCAGUAGGGAAUCUUCCGCAAUGGGCGAAAGCCUGACGGAGCAACGCCGCGUGAGUGAUGAAGGUCUUCGGAUCGUAAAACUCUGUUAUUAGGGAAGAACAUAUGUGUAAGUAACUGUGCACAACUUGACGGUACCUAAUCAGAAAGCCACGGCUAACUACGUG